UACAGAGGUCUCAAGCGUUGUUCGGAUUCAUUGGGCGUAAAGGGUGCGUAGGCGGCGCGGUAAGUCGGGUGUGAAAUCUUGGAGCUUAACUCCGAAACUGCAUUCGAUACUGCCGUGCUUGAGGACUGGAGAGGAGACUGGAAUUUACGGUGUAGCGGUGAAAUUCGUAGAUAUCGAGAGGAACACCGGUGGCGAAGGCGGCCAACUGGACGAAUACUGACGCUGAGACACGAAAGCGUGGGGAGCAAACAGG
rnacentral:rRNA from 1 species